AGUGAACGCUGGCGGCAGGCCUAACACAUGCAAGUCGAACGGCAGCACAGGAGAGCUUGCUCUCUGGGUGGCGAGUGGCGGACGGGUGAGGAAUACAUCGGAAUCUACCCUUUCGUGGGGGAUAACGUAGGGAAACUUACGCUAAUACCGCAUACGAUCUGAGGAUGAAAGCAGGGGACCGCAAGGCCUUGCGCGAUUGGAUGAGCCGAUGUCCGAUUAGCUAGUUGGCGGGGUAAAGGCCCACCAAGGCGACGAUCGGUAGCUGGUCUGAGAGGAUGAUCAGCCACACUGGAACUGAGACACGGUCCAGACUCCUACGGGAGGCAGCAGUGGGGAAUAUUGGACAAUGGGCGCAAGCCUGAUCCAGCCAUGCCGCGUGUGUGAAGAAGGCCUUCGGGUUGUAAAGCACUUUUGUUGGGAAAGAAAUCCUGUCGGCUAAUACCCGGCGGGGAUGACGGUACCCAAAGAAUAAGCACCGGCUAACUUCGUGCCAGCCGCCGCAGUAAGAC
rnacentral:rRNA from 1 species